rnacentral:rRNA from 1 species
GAUGAACGCUAGCGGCAGGCUUAAUACAUGCAAGUCGUGGGGCAGCAUGAGUAGCAAUACUUGAUGGCGACCGGCAAACGGGUGCGGAACACGUACACAACCUUCCUUCAAGCGGGGAAUAGCCCAGAGAAAUUUGGAUUAAUACCCCAUAAAAUAUAAAAAUGGCAUCAUUUAUAUAUUAAAGCUUCGGCACUUGAUGAUGGGUGCGCGGCUGAUUAGAUAGUUGGCGAGGUAACGGCUCACCAAGUCUACGAUCAGUAGCUGAUGUGAGAGCAUGAUCAGCCACACGGGCACUGAGACACGGGCCCGACUCCUACGGGAGGCAGCAGUAAGGAAUAUUGGACAAUGGACGAAAGUCUGAUCCAGCCAUGCCGCGUGAAGGAUUAAGGU